rnacentral:rRNA from 1 species
GCAAGUCGAGCGGAAACGAAGAUAGCUUGCUAUCAGGCGUCGAGCGGCGGACGGGUGAGUAACGCGUAGGAAUCUACCUAGUAGUGGGGGAUAGCCCAGAGAAAUUUGGAUUAAUACCGCAUACGCCCUGAGGGGGAAAGGAGGGGAUCGUCGGACCUUUCGCUAUUAGAUGAGCCUGCGUAAGAUUAGCUAGAUGGUGGGGUAAUGGCCUACCAUGGCGACGAUCUGUAGCUGGUUUGAGAGGAUGAUC